GCGAUGAGUUCAGUGGGUCUUUCUAGAAAGUUAUUAUUUGGAGGAGCGAUAUCCCUUACUUUACCUGAAUUUUUAAAAGAUGCAAGCGAGAUUAGACACGUACCCGAUCAUCAAGAAAUGUUUUUUUACCCAGAAAGCAAUCAAAGUAUUAUUUUUGAGUUGCUAGAACAAGAAGAUAUACCAGACGAGGAUGCUAUAAUAAAACAUUUUAAUGAAUUAAAAAGUUUUACGGGAGCUGCUUCCUCCAAAAUCAAUUCUUUGCUACCCUUUGAUUAUCUCAAUCUUGCUAUAAAGGAUUCUUCUUCAUUUUAUUUGAUCGGCGAACACUCUUUUAAGGAAAGCGACGUUUCUUUACCGAACUUACUCAUUCGAAUUCAGUUAAUACUAGUUCGUUUGAAGA